UGUGCAACUGGAUAACAAAGGGGGGUGCUUACUGCUCACUUUACCUCUGGAAGACGGUGAAUACUGCCUUUCAAGCCUUGGAUUCAUUUCCUCUCCUGGAUCUAACGCUGGGCGAGACAACCACAGCUCCAGACAGCGUCAGGUGGAGCCAGCAGCAAGGCGUGAGAAGAAUAUGCCUCGGGCAGCUGUUGGUUCAGCUACAAGGAGACGUGGAGCAGACUUGAACUCAACCUGUGGCUGGGAGUCAAGCCCAGCAGAUCCCAGCAGAGCCACAGAGAGCCUGAGAUCCACGAGCAAGGAGAAGAAACAUUUGUUGUUAUAAGCCACUGAAACCUUCAGAUUGUCGUGCAGCAAAAACUAAUUAAUUACACCUAUGCUGCUGAAUUUUCAACAGUAAGAAUUAACAUCUACAGUGUGCGGUGAUGCUAGGGAGUCGGUAUUUCACACAUAGCUUCUCAGGAAAUCCAUUUAACCAGGUAAAGAGCAUAAACUUCCUCCACAGCACCAGGUGAAAGACACGUCAGAUUCCUGAAUUCUGUAAAUUCACACCAGGUG
rnacentral:lncRNA from 1 species